CGAGCAACUAGCUGAUUGGACGUCUAUCUAUCUCACUACACUCCCUUACUCCUAUAAAAGGCCGACCGAAGGAAUGCUCUGCUCAUCUUUCUUACGGCUACCGCAGCGCUCGUUCACCCUGCUCUCAGCCCAGAGGUUAUCGUCUUCGCGAGCCCUCCCUCUCUCUCUCUCUCUCUCCCUCUUUUAAUUUCUUCGCGAGUUUUGGACGCUUCAAACGGUUAUAAUUUCUCAGCGGAAAUGUUCUCUCCAGUUUAGCGGUACCUCUUAAUGAAUUUCUGGAGAUCAGUGUCCGUGUCUUCUCUUCUUUAUUCUGUCCUUGCUUGACAUCAAGCAAUCUGAACAGAGCAUGGAAAGAAACAAACGUUAGAUCGAGAUGCUGAAAUAAAUGACAAGAACCAAUUUGCAAAUUUAAGAAGGAAAAGACCCAGCAGAUGAGAUUCACAGAGGAUGGCAAUUUAAGACAGAAAAGCCUCCAUGGGAUCUAGCCUCCUGAUCGAUCGAUUGAUUGGAUCGAAGGGGUUGAUUGAAUUAUGAGAUCCGCACAAGACUAAGGCCGAGCAACUAGCUGAUUGGACGUCUAUCUAUCUCACUACACUCCCUUACUCCUAUAAAGGCCGGCGGAAGGAAUGCUCUGCUCAUCUUUCUUACGGCUCGCUACCGCAGCGCUCGUUCACCCUGCUCUCAGCCCAGAGGUUAUCGUCUUCGCGAGCCCUCUUCACGAAUUUCUUUUCUCUCUCAAACUCUCCCUCUCUCUCUCUCUCUCUCUCUCUCUCUCUCUCUCUCUCUCUCUCUCUCUCUCUCCCUGACGUUCUGCAUCCGCUCCCCUCUCUCCUCUUUUAAUUUCAUCAGCGUUCUAACCCGCUCCCC
rnacentral:lncRNA from 1 species